GAUGAACGCUAGCGGCAGGCCUAAUACAUGCAAGUCGAACGGGAUCCAGAUCAAAGCUUGCUUUGGUCUGGUGAGAGUGGCGCACGGGUGCGUAACGCGUGAGCAACCUACCCUUGUCAGGGGGAUAGCCCGGCGAAAGUCGGAUUAAUACCGCAUGACAUCAUUGAGAGGCAUCUUUCGAUGAUCAAAGAUUUAUCGGACAAGGAUGGGCUCGCGUGACAUUAGCUCGUUGGUAAGGUAACGGCUUACCAAGGCUGCGAUGUCUAGGGGCUCUGAGAGGAGAAUCCCCCACACUGGUACUGAGGCACGGACCAGACUCCUACGGGAGGCAGCAGUAAGGAAUAUUGGUCAAUGGACGGAAGUCUGAACCAGCCAUGCCGCGUGCAGGAGGACGGCCCUAUGGGUUGUAAACUGCUUUUAUACGGGAACAAACGUCGGUACGUGUACCGGUCUGAGUGUACCGUAAGAAUAAGGAUCGGCUAACUCCGUG
rnacentral:rRNA from 1 species